AUUUGUCUGGUUAAUUCCGAUAACGAACGAGACCUUAACCUGCUAACUAGCUGCUUCUGUUACGACAGUAGUUUGCUUCUUAGAGGGACCAAUGUGUUUCAAAUACAUGGAAGUUUGAGGCAAUAACAGGUCUGUGAUGCCCUUAUAUGUCCUGGGCUGCACGCGUGCUACACUGAUACAUACAGCAAGUGCCUAACCAGUCAUGGUGUGGUAAUCUCUAAUAUGUAUCGUGAUGGGGAUAGAUCUUUGCAAUUAUAGAUCUUGAACGAGGAAUUCCUAGUAAGUGCAAGUCAUCAUCUUGCAUUGAUUAUGUCCCUGCCCUUUGUACACACCGCCCGUCGCUCCUACCGAUACCGGGUGGUUCGGUGAACCUUUUGGACCUCGCAAGAGGAAAGAUAAGUAAAUCAUAUCACCUAGAGGAAGGAGAAGUCGUAACAAGGUUUCCGUAGGUGAACCUGCRGAAGGAUCA
rnacentral:rRNA from 1 species